GCGGAUCAAGGACGGGUGCAUCCAGUGCCCGUUUCACCACUGGCGCUACGACGAGCAAGGCAAGUGCGUUCACAUCCCCGGCCACAGCGAGGUGGUGCGCCAGCUGGAGCCGGUGCCACGCGCGGCGCGCCAGCCGACGUUGGUCACCACCGAGCGAUACGGCUACGUGUGGGUCUGGUACGGCUCCCCGCAGCCGCUGCACCCGCUGCCCGAAAUCACCGCAGCCGACGUCGACAACGGCGACUUCAUGCACCUGCACUUCGCGUUCGAGACGACGACGGCGGUCUUGCGGAUCGUCGAGAACUUCUACGACGCACAGCACGCAACCCCCGUGCACGCGCUCCCGAUCUCGGCCUUCGAGCUCAAGCUCUUCGACGACUGGAGCCGGUGGCCGGAGGUUGAGUCGCUGGCCCGGGCGGGCGCGUGGUUCGGUGCCGGGAUCGACUUCCACGUGAACCGCUACUUCGGCCCCCUCGGCAUGCUGUCGCGCGCGCUCGGCCUGAACAUGUCGCAGAUGAACCUGCACUUCGAUGGCUACCCCGGCGGGUGCGUCAUGACCGUUGCCCUGGACGCAGACGUCAAAUACAAACUGCUCCAGUGUGUGACACCGGUGAGCGACGGCAAGAACAUCAUGCACAUGCUCAUCUCGAU
rnacentral:rRNA from 1 species